CCCUCGGCAUAUUGCUCAGUAACACGCGGAUAACUUGCCCUUGGGACUGGAACACCCCCGGGAAACUGGGGCUAAUUCUUGAUAGGUGAAGAACUCUGGAAUGAGUCUUCGCCAAAAAGACGCUUACGUUAUGCUCGUAGGCGUCGCCCAAGGAUGAGGCCGCGACCGAUCAGGUUGUUGGUGAGGUAAUGGCUCACCAAGCCUUUUACCGGUGCGGGCCGUGAGAGCGGGAGCCCGGAGAUGGGCACUGAGACAAGGGCCCAGGCCCUACGGGGCGCAGCAGUCGCGAAAACUUUGCAAUAAGCGAAAGCUUGACAGGGCUAUCCCGAGUGCCAUCCGCUGAGGAAGGCUUUUACCCAGUCUAGAACGCUGGGGGAAUAAGGAGAGGGCAAGUCUGGUGUCAGCCGCCGCGGUAAUACCAGCUCUCCGAGUGGUGUGGAUGUUUAUUGGGCCUAAAGCAUCCGUAGCUGGCUAAGUUAGUCCCUUGUUAAAUCCACCGAAUUAAUCGUUGGAUUGCGGGGGAUACUGCUUGGCUAGGGGACGAGAGAGGCAGACGGUAUUUCCGGGGUAGGGGUGAAAUCCUAUAAUCCCGGGAAGACCACCAGUGGCGAAGGCUGUCUGCUAGAACGCGCCCGACGGUGAGGGAUGAAAGCUGGGGGAGCGAACCGGAUUAGAUACCCGGGUAGUCCCAGCUGUAAACGAUGCAGGCUAGGUGUUUGGACGGCCACGUGCCGUUCUAGU
rnacentral:rRNA from 1 species